AGUUAUAUUAGAGUUCAGUGGCGUAAACGUAGUAAAUGUGUAGCAAGCUCAGAAUAAAAUUAAUAAAAAUAUUGCUUCUUGAUUCACUGAUAAAUCAUACAUCGUUACAAAGAGUCAAUUCCGAAAACUAAAAACAAAAAAACGUACGGAAUUCAAAAAUACUUUUUAUAACUCAUUCUUGUAUUGAAGUGAAAUCCAAGUUGAAAAGUACGUGUUCGGUUAUGUUGACAUCUUUUUUUGAUACGGAAUUUUUAUAAAUUGAAUGCACAUACGUAACAUCUAGUUCGGUAUUUGGAAUUAUAUAACGCAAAAUGCAAUGAGGGCACCAGAUGUCACCAGCAAAGUCAGUUCCCAAUUCAGAGAGCUUGAUAGUUUCACACUUAACCUCUACGAAGUGAACGAUGUAUGUGCAUGCAG
rnacentral:misc_RNA from 1 species